rnacentral:rRNA from 1 species
CCUACGGGCGGCAGCAGUGGGGAAUAUUGCACAAUGGGGGAAACCCUGAUGCAGCGACGCCGCGUGAGCGAUGAAGUAUUUCGGUAUGUAAAGCUCUAUCAGCAGGGAAGAAAAUGACGGUACCUGACGAAGAAGCCCCGGCGAACGACGUGCCAGCAGCCGCGGUAAUACGUCGGGGGCAAGCGUUAUCCGGAUUUACUGGGGGUAAAGGGAGCGUAGACGGCUGUGCAAGCCAGAUGUGAAAGCCCGGGGCUCAACCCCGGGACUGCAUGUGGAACGGUGUGGCUGGAGUGUCGGGGAGGCCGGCGGACUUCCUGGUGUAGCGGUGAAAUGCGUAGCUAUUAGGAGGGA